rnacentral:rRNA from 1 species
GGGGCGCAGCAGGCGCGAAGCCUUUACAAUGCACGAAAGUGUGAUAGGGGAACUCAGCGUGCUCAUGGAAACCAUGGGCUUUUCUUUAGGGUAAAUACCUAAGGGAAUAAGGGAUGGGCAAGACCGGUGCCAGCAGCCGCGGUAACACCGGCGUCCCGAGUGGGAAUCACUUAUUAGGUCUAAAGCGCUCGUAGUUGGCUUUGUAAUUUCUUGUGAAAUCGUGUCGCUUAACGGCACGGCGUGCAGGAAACACUGCAGAGCUUGGGACUGGGAGGCGUCAGAAGUAUUCCUUAGGGAGCGGUAAAAUGUGAUAAUCUAAGGAGGACUACCUGUGGCGAAGGCGUCUGACGAGAACAGGUUCGACAAUCAGGAGCGAAGGCUAGGGGAGCAAACCGGAUUAGAUACCCGAGUAGUCCUAGCAGUAAACACUGUGUGCAAGGUGUUGCGUCUACAAUAGGUAGAUGCAGUAUCGAAGCGAAGGCACUAAGCACACCACCUGGGAAGUACGGUCGCAAGACUGGAACUUAAAAGAAUUGGCGGGGGAGGAC